UGGGGAAUAUUGGACAAUGGGCGCAAGCCUGAUCCAGCCAUGCCGCGUGAGUGAUGAAGGCCUUAGGGUUGUAAAGCUCUUUCGGCGGGGACGAUAAUGACGGUACCCGCAGAAGAAGCCCCGGCUAACUUCGUGCCAGCAGCCGCGGUAAUACGAAGGGGGCUAGCGUUGCUCGGAAUCACUGGGCGUAAAGGGCGCGUAGGCGGACAUUUAAGUCGGGGGUGAAAGCCCAGGGCUCAACCCUGGAAUUGCCUCCGAUACUGGGUGUCUCGAGACCGGAAGAGGUGAGUGGAACUGCGAGUGUAGAGGUGAAAUUCGUAGAUAUUCGCAAGAACACCAGUGGCGAAGGCGGCUCACUGGUCCGGUUCUGACUGCUGAGGCGCGAAAGCGUGGGGAGCAAACAGGUUAGGAUACCCUGGGUAGUCCACGCCCGUAAACGAUGGAUGCUAACCGUUGGCAGGCUUGCCUGUCAGUGCGCAGCUACGCUUUAAGCAUCCCGCC
rnacentral:rRNA from 1 species